ensembl:snoRNA
CUUCCUGUUUUAGUACCACCCAUCUGCUUUUUUUCAAGGUGUGUGGCUAUGCUAACAGGAUAAAGGAACUCUGUCAAGAUCUGAAGAGGUGGUUGGCUACACCCCCUCCACUUCUAUAUGAAUUGGCAGUACAUUUAUGU